GCUCAACCAGGAGGAGAAGAAUUACUCCAACAGCCCUGAAGCCACUUCCAUGGUGCUUGUCGGCUGUCCUCGCUGCCUCAUGUAUGUGAUGCUCUCUGAAGAUGAUCCCAAGUGUCCCAAAUGCAAAAGCACGGUUUUGCUAGAUUUCCUGCACGACACCAAAAACCCCACCAUAAGGAGGAAUUAGAGUGAUAGAGUUAGGAUCCUGGGUUCCUAGCUCUGUUUUCUUCUGUUCCUAGCCCUGUUUUUCUCUGUUCCUAAUAGUAGGACAUAUUAUAAUAUUAUAUUAUAUUAGCUAGUAAUGGUUAGGAAUUAAUCUCCUUUUUACCUUUUUACUGUUUUAACUAUUCCCCCUUCUGUGGGUAGUGCUAUGUGCGCUCCACUUUUACCCUCUCUCCCAACAAUUUUGUCAAAGCAGGGGAUGCAUAUUUGCAGAGACAGAAAGAGACAGAGUGGAGCGUGAAUAGCACUGCUUGAAUCACCUAUAGAAAGAAAGUUACUGGGCAAUUCGGGAAUGUUAGGUAUCUAUUAUAUAGGAGCUGGGUGCUCUUUAGCGGUUAAGAAAGUGUAAUAGGGCUUAUAACCUCAGGUGCCCUCUUAGUUUGCUUGUUGAAAUCCAACCUCGGUUUUCCUUUGACUAUCUUUUUCUCUGCAUCCA
rnacentral:lncRNA from 1 species